CCCGCUGAACUUAAGCAUAUCAGUAAGCGGAGGAAAAGAAAAUAACAAUGAUUACCUCAGUAGCGGCGAGUGAAGAGGUAUUAGCCCAAGAUGUUAAUCUGUAAUACAGUUACGGAAUUGUAAUCUAUAGAAUUUCUCAGAAAGUGGCGGCUCGUCAUAAGUUCCUUGGAACAGGACACCAAAGAGGGUGAAAGUCCCGUAUUUGGAUGAGCCAAAGCAAUAUGAGGUGUUUCUAAGAGUCGGGUAGUUUGGGAAUGCUGCCCUAAGCGGGAGAUAAACUUCUCCUAAGGCUAAAUAUAAGAUAGGAGACCGAUAGCAUACAAGUACUGCGAAGGAAAGAUGAAAAGAACUUUGAAAAGAGGGUUAAAAGACUUGAAAUCGUUGAAAAGGAAGCGAUAAAAGAGAAAUUAAUCGCUUAAGAAUUAAGUUACUUGUCUAAGUUUGUGAGUGGAGACUACUUCAUAGGGGUCUUGCUUUUAAAUGAAAACAAGUAGCGUUUUUUAGGCGAAAGGCAGAAUGAUAUCCCUUUGUAAUAAUAAGGUUGAUUGUUUACUCAUAGACUCGAAAUUACAAAGGGGUAUGAGGGAUUAUCUAAUGAUUCUGUCAAAAUGGCUUUUAUCGACCCGUCUUGAAACACGG
rnacentral:rRNA from 1 species